rnacentral:rRNA from 1 species
GACGAACGCUGGCGGCGUGCUUAACACAUGCAAGUCGAACGGAAAGGCCUCAGCUUGCUGGGGUACUCGAGUGGCGAACGGGUGAGUAACACGUGGGUGAUCUGCCCUGCACUUUGGGAUAAGCUUGGGAAACUGGGUCUAAUACCGAAUAUGACCACUUCUUGGAUGUUGUGGUGGAAAGCUUUUGCGGUGUGGGAUGAGCCUGCGGCCUAUCAGCUUGUUGGUGGGGUAAUGGCCUACCAAGGCGGCGACGGGUAUCCGGCCUGGGAGGGUGUACGGGAACAUUGGGACUGAGAUACGGCCCAGGCUCCUACGGGAGGCAGCAGUGGGGAAUAUUGCACAAUGGGCGCAAGCCUGAUGCAGCGACGCCGCGUGAGUGAAGAAGUAUUUCGGUAUGUAAAGCUCUAUCAGCAGGGACGAUAAUGACGGUACCUGACUAAGAAGCCCCGGCUAACUACGUGCCAGCCGCCGCGGUAA